rnacentral:rRNA from 1 species
UACGUAGGGUGCAAGCGUUGUCCGGAAUUAUUGGGCGUAAAGAGCUCGUAGGCGGUUUGUUGCGUCGGCUGUGAAAUCCCGAGGCUCAACCUCGGGUCUGCAGUCGAUACGAGCAAACUAGAGUGUUGCAGGGGAGACUGGAAUUCCUGGUGUAGCGGUGAAAUGCGCAGAUAUCAGGAGGAACACCGGUGGCGAAGGCGGGUCUCUGGGCAACAACUGACGCUGGAGGAGCGAAAGACGUGGGGAGCGAACAGG